UGCUAGAUUGUGUGCUUACGUGAGUCA
rnacentral:piRNA from 1 species